rfam:Echinostoma caproni strain Egypt genome assembly, scaffold: ECPE_scaffold0003973
GGCCUCGUAGCUCAGCUAGUAGAACGUGCGCGUUCAAACCGUAGGCAGCGUCCAUGCGUGGGUUCAAAUUCCACCGAGGCUA